UGCCAGACUCCUACGGGAGGCAGCAGUGGGGAAUAUUGCACGAUGGGGGAAACCCUGAUGCAGCGACGCCGCGUGAGCGAUGAAGUAUUUCGGUAUGUAAAGCUCUAUCAGCAGGGAAGAAAAUGACGGUACCUGACUAAGAAGCCCCGGCUAACUACGUGCCAGCAGCCGCGGUAAUACGUAGGGGGCAAGCGUUAUCCGGAUUUACUGGGUGUAAAGGGAGCGUAGACGGCUGUGCAAGCCAGAUGUGAAAGCCCGGGGCUCAACCCCGGGACUGCAUUUGGAACUGUGUGGCUGGAGUGUCGGAGAGGCAGGCGGAAUUCCUAGUGUAGCGGUGAAAUGCGUAGAUAUUAGGAGGAACACCAGUGGCGAAGGCGGCCUGCUGGACGAUGACUGACGUUGAGGCUCGAAAGCAUGGGUAGCGAACAGGAUUAGAUACCCGUGUA
rnacentral:rRNA from 1 species